AGUUAAUAUCAAGAGCAGUUCAUAUUUAAGAACUCACCAACCGGGCUCAGAUCAAUCAGAGAAUCGGUGGUAUUAGCCUUAAUCGCUAGAUGUGCCCAGGAAAAUGGGAAAUGUAAAGCCGCAAUU
rnacentral:ncRNA from 1 species